rnacentral:rRNA from 1 species
ACAGCAGUAGCCGCGGUAAUACGUAGGUGGCAAGCGUUGUCCGGAAUUAUUGGGCGUAAAGGGCUCGCAGGCGGUUUCUUAAGUCUGAUGUGAAAGCCCCCGGCUCAACCGGGGAGGGUCAUUGGAAACUGGGAAACUUGAGUGCAGAAGAGGAGAGUGGAAUUCCACGUGUAGCGGUGAAAUGCGUAGAGAUGUGGAGGAACACCAGUGGCGGAGGCGACUCUCUGGUCUGUAACUGACGCUGAGGAGCGAAAGCGUGGGGAGCGAACAGGAUUAGAGACCCCAGUAGUCCCUGUCUCUUAUAC